CAGUCGCCACGGUAAUACGAAGGGUGCAAGCGUUAAUCGGAAUUACUGGGCGUAAAGCGUGCGUAGGCGGUGAGUUAAGUCUGCUGUGAAAUCCCCGGGCUCAACCUGGGAAUGGCAGUGGAUACUGGCUCGCUAGAGUGUGUCAGAGGAUGGUGGAAUUCCCGGUGUAGCGGUGAAAUGCGUAGAGAUCGGGAGGAACAUCAGUGGCGAAGGCGGCCAUCUGGGACAACACUGACGCUGAGGCACGAAAGCGUGGGGGGCAAACAGGAUUAGAUACCCCAGUAGUCCCUGUCUCUUAUAA
rnacentral:rRNA from 1 species